rnacentral:tRNA from 1 species
CAGAGCGUAGCUUAGAUAGAAAAGCAUCUCCCUUACACCGAGAAGACACUUGUGCAAACCAAGUCGAACUGA